rnacentral:rRNA from 1 species
CCUACGGGAGGCAGCAGUAGGGAAUCUUUCACAAUGGGCGAAAGCCUGAUGGAGCAACGCCGCGUGCAGGAUGACGGCCUUCGGGUUGUAAACUGCUUUUAUAAGCGAGAAAUAUGAUGGUAACUUAUGAAUAAGGAUCGGCUAACUACGUGCCAGCAGCCGCGGUCAUACGUAGGCUCCGAGCAUUAUCCGGAGUGACUGGGUGUAAAGAGUUGCGUAGGUGGGUUAAUAAGUAGCUAGUGAAAUCUGGUGGCUCAACCAUUCAGACUAUUAGCUAAACUGUUAAGCUCGAGACCGUUAGGGGUAACUGGAAUUUCUAGUGUAGGGGUGAAAUCCGUAGAUAUUAGAAAGAACACCAAUAGCGAAGGCAGGUUGCUGGGACGGUUCUGACACUAAGGCACGAAAGCGUAGGGAGCAAACGGGAUUAGAUACCCCAGUAGUC